GACAGAGGUGCCGAGCGUUAGGCGGAAUCACUGGGCUUAAAGCGUGUGUAGGCGGGUCGUUAAGUGUCUUGUGAAAUCCCACCGCUCAACGGUGGAACUGCUGGGCAUACUGGCGAUCUUGAGCCACCUAGGGGCAGACGGAACAAGCGGUGGAGCGGUGAAAUGCGUAGAUAUCGAGAGGAACACCUGCGGCGAAGGCGGGUCUCUGGGCCGAAAUUGACGCUGAGGAGCGAAAGCGUGGGGAGCGAACAGG
rnacentral:rRNA from 1 species